rnacentral:rRNA from 1 species
AGGAUUCCCCUAGUAACUGCGAGUGAAGCGGGAAGAGCUCAAAUUUAAAAUCUGGCGCGCCUCCGGUCGCCCGAGUUGUAGUCUGGAGAAGCGUUUUCUGUGUUGGACCGUGUAUAAGUCUCUUGGAACAGGGCGUCAUAGAGGGUGAGAAUCCCGUCUUUGACACGGACUACCAAUGCUUUGUGAUGCGCUCUCAAAGAGUCGAGUUGUUUGGGAAUGCAGCUCAAAAUGGGUGGUAAAUUCCAUCUAAAGCUAAAUAUAGGCGAGAGACCGAUAGCGAACAAGUACCGUGAGGGAAAGAUGAAAAGCACUUUGGAAAGAGAGUUAAACAGUACGUGAAAUUGCUGAAAGGGAAACGCUUGAAGUCAGUCGUGUCUGCCAGGACUCAGCCUUGCUUCCGCUCGGUGUACUUUCUGGUUGGAUGGGCCAGCAUCAAUUUUGACCGUUGGAGAAAGGCUUUGGGAAUGUGGCACCUUUGGGUGUGUUAUAGCCCUUUGUUGCAUACAACGGUUGGGAUUGAGGACCGCAGCACGCCGUUAUGGCCGGGGUUCGCCCACGUACGUGCUUAGGAUGUUGGCAUAAUGGCUUUAAGCGACCCGUCUUGAAACACGGACCAAGGAGUCUAACAUGCCCGCGAGUGUUUGGGUGGAAAACCCAUGCGCGUAAUGAAAGUGACAGCUGAGAUCCUCUCAUCAGGAGCAUCAGCGCCUGGACUUGAUCUACGGAGACGGUUCUACGGUAGAGCGUGUAUGUUGGGACCCGAAAGAUGGUGAACUAUGCCUGAAUAGGGUGAAGCCAGAGGAAACUCUGGUGGAGGCUCGUAGCGAUUCUGACGUGCAAAUCGAUCGUCAAAUUUGGGUAUAGGGGCGAAAGACUAAUCGA